rnacentral:lncRNA from 1 species
CCCAAUCCUGCUGCUUCAACAUGCUAAACUCAAGCCCAUUCAGUGUAGGUCUUCCAUUGUAGCUCUCGGUAUAUAAAGUCAUGAAAUGGAAGAAUUUUGAGUUCCUAUUUUUCUCUGGAUCCAUUAUAUUUUUUAAUUUUUGCCUUUAAGAAAUCUCCUCUAUCUGAAUCUGAUUAGCUAAGUCCAGUUUCACCUUCUCUCUUCUCUCUCUGCCAUCUAGUGGUAAAUUGCCCUUACCUUCAGCAAGAUUAAGAUUGUCAAGCUACUGUAGCAAAGAAAGGAUAUCAUGGUCUUCAUUCUCCCUAACUCCUCACUCCAUGGCUUAAUUUUAGCUUUCAUAACCAAGAUCAUUUUUUGCCACCCUGAAGCUUGCUUUACUAUCAUUUGUGGCAUUCUCCUACCAUUCUUUAAUUUCAUUAUAGAAGCCCAGCACCUUUAACCAUUUGUCCUCGAAUCUGAAUGGAUAAGUUCCCCCAUUUGAUUCCAUCAACCUCCAAGCAAAUGGGAAAGUGGUUCCAUAUUGUACAUUGAUGUCGUCUCUGUAUGAGUCUUGUCAUUCUAUCUUGGAAGGAGAUUGACACAAGGAACUGAUCAAU